rnacentral:rRNA from 1 species
GCCUACGGCCAUGCCACCCUGAACGUGCCCAAUCUCAUCUGAUCUUGGAAGCUAAGCAGCGUCGGGCCUGGUUAGUACUUGGAUGGGAGACCACCUAGGAAUACAAGGUGCUGUAGGUG